rnacentral:rRNA from 1 species
GGGGAAUAUUGCGCAAUGGGGGGAACCCUGACGCAGCAACGCCGCGUGGAGGAAGAAGGUCUUCGGAUUGUAAACUCCUUUGAUGAGGGACGAAGCAAGCGACGGUACCUCAGGAACAAGCCACGGCUAACAACGUGCCAGCAGCCGCGGUAAUACGUAGGUGGGGAGCGUGGUCCGGAAUUUUAGGGGGCAACGGGCGUGCGGGCGGGGUGGCAAGUCUGGUGUGAAAUACCGGGGCGCAAAGCUGG